rnacentral:rRNA from 1 species
GAUCUUUAUUUUUUUUUUUUAUAAGUUAAUAAGAUUAAUAAUAUUUAUAAAUAAAUUAAAAAUUUUACUGGGGUGGUAUUAAAAUUUAACAAACUUUUAUAAUUAUUUACAUUAAUAUAUGAAUUAUUGAUCCAAUUAUAUUGAUUAAAAAAUUAAGUUACCUUAGGGAUAACAGCGUAAUUUUUUUUUAGAGUUCAUAUCGACAAAAAAGAUUGC